GACAGAGGGUGCAAACGUUGUUCGGAAUUACUGGGCGUAAAGCGCGUGUAGGCUGCUCGGAAAGUCGGAUGUGAAAGCCCUGGGCUCAACCUAGGAAGUGCAUUCGAAACUUCCGAGCUGGAGUACUGGAGAGGAAGGCGGAAUUCUCGGUGUAGAGGUGAAAUUCGUAGAUAUCGGGAGGAACACCAGUGGCGAAGGCGGCGAUCUGGGAAGAUACUGACGCUGAGGUGCGAAAGCGUGGGGAGCAAACAGG
rnacentral:rRNA from 1 species